UUGGAGGGCAAGUCUGGUGCCAGCAGCCGCGGUAAUUCCAGCUCCAAUAGCGUAUAUUAAAGUUGUUGCAGUUAAAAAGCUCGUAGUUGAAUUUCGGGGUCAGUAGGCUGGUCGUGCCACGGGUAUGUACUGGUCUCACUGAUUCCUCCUUCCUGAUGAACCGUAAUGCCAUUAAUUUGGUGUUGCGGGGAAACUGGACUGUUACUUUGAAAAAAUUAGAGUGUUUAAAGCAGGCUAACGCUUGAAUACAUUAGCAUGGAAUAAUGAAAUAGGACGUUCGAUCCUAUUUUGUUGGUUUCUAGGAUUGACGUAAUGAUUAAUAGGGAUAGUCGGGGGCAUCAGUAUUCAAUCGUCAGAGGUGAAAUUCUUGGAUUGAUUGAAGACUAACUACUGCGAAAGCAUUUGCCAAGGAUGUUUUCAUUAAUCAAGAACGAAAGUUAGGGGAUCGAAGACGAUCAGAUACCGUCGUAGUCUUAACCAUAAACUAUGCCGACUAGGGAUCGGAUGAUGUUAAUUUUUUAAUGACUCAUUCGGCGCCUUACGGGAAA
rnacentral:rRNA from 1 species